CAAACAAUCCCAAACAUCUCAGUGGCUUUCAAUAACUCAGUUUUGUCUUUACUGACACUGUGUGUCUGUCAAGCGUCAGCUGUUGCCCUGCUCCACACCUUUAUUUCAGGACCUAGGCCGAAGAAGCAGCCUCUAUCUGGCAGUUGCUGUUCUUCUGGAGAAGGUGGCUCUUAAAAUUACGGCGUGUAAAUGAUACACAUCACUUCUACAUAUAUUUUAUUGGCCAAAGCAAAUCACAUGGUUUCUCCUGACUUCAGCAAAGAGGGUAUGACUAAUUCGUCCACCCGUGGGAAAAAAAAAAAACACAGUUGGCGGAGGAAAUAGAGUACUGGGUGAACACCAGUACAAUCUAUGACAGAGGUCAAUGGAGAAUUUAUCUCCUGAAUUGGAAAAUUAGCUGUCCCUAAAAAGAAGGAAAAAGAACUCUCUUUGUUGAAGGCAAACAUCCAUACAGGAGUAUUUGGAACCCAGGAACAUAAAGCACACCUGUCUUCCCAAAGAUCUCCAAUACAUCUGCCACUUCUGGUCAUCCAAUCUGAUUGGCUCAGUGGUAAAGGAUCCAUCUGCCAAUGCAGGAGACACAGGUUCAAUCCCUGGAUUGGGAAGAUCUCCUGGAGAAGAAAAUGGCAACCCACUCCAGUAUUCCUGCUUGGGAAAUCCCAUGAAAGAAGAACCUGGUGGGCUACAGUCCUUGGGGUCACAAACAGUCAGACACAGCUGAGCGACUAAACAACAACAACAUCAGUAUGGUUUCGCUUCCCCUUCCUGACAGAGAUAGAACAGAACACACGAGCCAAAUCUGACUGCACACCACGUCGUGACAAUUGCUGCAUCGGUCUGCGAGGGAAAAGACCCGCCUGGCUCAGUAACUGCGUUUGGGGCUACUACCUGGCUGAGUUUGGAGAAGUCCAUUGUCGUCCUCUAAGGGACUUAGUUGCAAGUUCUCAGUAACCAACACUUCUCAGCAGCACAGAAACUGAGUGACUUGAUUCUGAACCAACCCCAGAGUCCUUUAUAUCCCCAUGUUGAAGAUAAGAGAACUGAGACAGAAUAAAACUCAUUUUCCCAUA